rnacentral:rRNA from 1 species
UCGCUGCACUGUUCUGUAAUACGCAGUCAACUGCCCUCAAGUGGGGAAUAAUCUUGGGAAACUGAGGCUAAUGCCCCAUAGUUCUAGAUCGUUGGAAUACUUCUAGGACAAAAGCUACGGCGCUUGAGGAUGGGACUGUGAGCUAUCAGGCUGUUGUGGGGGUAACGGCUCCACAAACCGAUAACAGCUACGAGCUAUGGAAGUAGGAGCUCGGAGAUGGAUUCUGAGACAUGAAUCCAGGUACUACGGUACGCAGCAGGCGAGAAAACUUUGCAAUCGGUUACCGCCGGACAAGGGAACCUUGAGUGCACUUGUUUUAAGUGCUUUUGCUUUCUGAAAACGGGAAGGCGAAUAAGGGCUGGGUAACACGGGUGCCAGCCACCGCGGUAAUACCCGGAGCCCAAGUGAUAGCCACUGUUAUUGGGUCUAAAGCGUCCGUAGCCGGCUUAGUUAGUCCUUGGUGAAAUCUGGCAGCAAACUGUCAGGAUGCUGAGGAUACUGCUAGGCUCGAGACCGGGAGAGGGUAGAGGUACUCUUGGGGUAGGGGUGAAAUCCUAUAAUCCCAAGGGGACGACCUGUGGCGAAGGCGUCUAUCUGGAACGGGUCUGACGGUGAGGGACGAAAGCUAGGGGAGCGAUCGGGAUUAGAUACCCCGGUAGUCCUAGCUGUAAACGAUGCCCGCUUGGUGUAGCAGACCUCUCGGGGUUUGCUGUGCCGGAGCGUAGGUGUUAAGCGGGCCACCUGGGGAGUACGACCGCAAGGUUGACUUAAGGCA